CGGAGGGAUCAUUACCGAGUUUACAACUCCCAAACCCCUGUGAACAUACCAAUUGUUGCCUCGGCGGAUCAGCCCGCUCCCGGUAAAACGGGACGGCCCGCCAGAGGACCCCUAAACUCUGUUUCUAUAUGUAACUUCUGAGUAAAACCAUAAAUAAAUCAAAACUUUCAACAACGGAUCUCUUGGUUCUGGCAUCGAUGAAGAACGCAGCAAAAUGCGAUAAGUAAUGUGAAUUGCAGAAUUCAGUGAAUCAUCGAAUCUUUGAACGCACAUUGCGCCCGCCAGUAUUCUGGCGGGCAUGCCUGUUCGAGCGUCAUUUCAACCCUCAAGCCCCCGGGUUUGGUGUUGGGGAUCGGCGAGCCCUUGCGGCAAGCCGGCCCCGAAAUCUAGUGGCGGUCUCGCUGCAGCUUCCAUUGCGUAGUAGUAAAACCCUCGCAACUGGUACGCGGCGCGGCCAAGCCGUUAAACCCCCAACUUCUGAAUGUUGACCUCGGAUCAGGUAGGAAUACCCGCUGAACUUAAGCAUAUCAA
rnacentral:rRNA from 1 species